rnacentral:rRNA from 1 species
AGCAGCCGCGGUAAUUCCAGCUCCAAUAGCGUAUAUUAAAGUUGUUGCAGUUAAAAAGCUCGUAGUUGAAUUUCGAGAUCAAUUUGUUGGUCGUGCCUCGGUACGUACUGGCAAUUUUGAUUUCUCCCUUCUGAAGAACCAUGAUGUCAUUAAUUUGGUGUCAUGGGGAAUCAGGACCGUUACUUUGAAAAAAUUAAAGUGUUUAAAGCAGGCUCGCGCUUGAAUACAUUAGCAUGGAAUAAUGAAAUAGGACGUUUGAUUCUAUUUUGUUGGUUUCUAGGAUCGACGUAAUGAUUAAUAGGGAUAGUUGGGGGCAUUAGUAUUCAAUUGUCAGAGGUGAAAUUCUUGGAUUUAUUGAAGACUAACUACUGCGAAAGCAUUUGCCAAGGAUGUUUUCAUUAAUCAAGAACGAAAGUUAGGGGAUCGAAGACGAUCAGAUACCGUCGUAGUCUUAACCAUAAACUAUGCCGACUAGGGAUCGGAUGAUGUUAAUUUUUUUAAUGUACUCAUUCGGCGCCUUAC